GAUGAACGCUAGCUGGAGGCUUAAUACAUGCAAGUCGAGCGGGAUUGGUAGCAAUACCAUGAGAGCGGCGCACGGGUGAGUAACGCGUACACGACCUACCUCUGACAGGGGGAUAGCCCUGGGAAACUGGGAUUAAUACCGCAUAUUAUUCUGAUUAAUAAAGGAUUGGAAUGAAAGUUCAGGCGGUCAGAGAUGGGUGUGCGUCUGAUUAGCUAGUUGGUAGGGUAACGGCCUACCAAGGCGAUGAUCAGUAGGGGGCGUGAGAGCGUGAUCCCCCACACGGGUACUGAGACACGGACCCGACUCCUACGGGAGGCAGCAGUAAGGAAUAUUGGACAAUGGCCGCAAGGCUGAUCCAGCCAUCCAGCGUGCAGGAAGAAGGCCCUAUGGGUUGUAAACUGCUUUUAUCAGGGAAUAAACCUCUGGAUUCACUCCGGAGCUGAAGGUACCUGAAGAAUAAGCACCGGCUAACUCCGUGCCAGCCGCCGCCGUAAGAC
rnacentral:rRNA from 1 species